rnacentral:lncRNA from 1 species
GGGGCGCAGCGCGGCGCCUAAGGGAGCGCUGGCUUCAGAGAGGAAUCGAGGGACUGGGGUCUGUGCCCCCGCACCCCCGUUCUCCGGCCGCGUCUCCCAACCCCACAGACACAUUCUUGGGGGUUUCUGAGCUUCGGUUGCUCUGUUUUCCUGUGACACGUGAGUGUUGGGGGCGUGGAGGAAGCGGGCUGGGGUCCUUGCACACCUCUGCACUGAAGGAAAUGCGGACCGCGAGUCUCGCUUGGCCCUCGUUCUUGCUGGAGAUACUGCUAGGGAGCCGAAGGGCGGACUGGAGGCAAAAGGCAUGAGAACGGAAAACGUCAGACUUUUAGGCGUGAGGAAAAGGAGUUCCAAGUUCAGAGAGGAAUUUAAGAUGUUUUAAAGGAUGUUCCCUCUCUCUGGCUGUUGGAGGACUGAACUGUUACUGUUGCUACUCCUGGCUGUGGCUGUGAGAGAAUCCUGGCAGAUAGAAGAAAAAUCGUGUGACCUGGUAGGAGAAAAGGAUAAGGAGUCAAAGAAUGAGGUGGCUCUCCUGGAGAGGUUACGGCCACUGUUUAACAAAAGUUUUGAGAGUACUGUGGGCCAGGGCUCAGACACUUACAGCUAUAUAUUCAGAGUAUGCCGGGAAGCUGGCAACCACUCCUCUGGCGCAGGCCUGGUCCAGAUCAACAAAAGUAAUGAGAAGGAAACGGUGGUUGGGAGAAUCA